rnacentral:tRNA from 1 species
GUUUUAAUAGUUUAAAAUAAAACAUUGGUCUUGUAAAUCAAAAUUAAGGUCUAUCCUUUUAAAACU